UUCUUCUCAUGAGCUCCUCUCUGCCCAUGCUGUGGCAGUGUAUGGAUUCGCACGAGAAGUAGAGAAACCUUCACAGUUAAACAGGUCCCUCCGUUGUAGUGGGGGAGGCCCAUGUCUGAUGUGAGACAACA